rnacentral:tRNA from 1 species
CACUAGGAAGCUUAACAGGACAAAGCAUCAGCCUUUUAAGCUGAAGAAUGGUGUCUUCCAACCACCCCUAGUGA